rnacentral:misc_RNA from 1 species
UCGAGUUCUAACAAACUCCCAAACCCAUGUGAACAUACCAUUUGUUGCUUCGGCGGGAUCGCCCCGGGUGCCAUUCAGUUGCGCCCCGGAGUCAGGCGCCCGCCAGAGGACCGAAACUCUUGUAUUAUUGAGAAUCUCUGAGUGGAUUAAACAAAUAAUCA